GCAUGGCUCAAUACUUUCUUUAAGAGGACUUUAAUCCAAUAAGCAUCUGAUACUGCAAGCAACACUGUGUCGAGACGAUUCUACCCCUAGUCUGUAGAUGCUAAUAUACAAUUGGAUAACGUUUCAUUAACAGUUAACGUUUAUGUAACGGUAACAUAACGUUAAACGUAGGGGAGCAUUGUAUCAUCACCGAUUUUAAAAACUGAGAUUUUGUUGACAAAACGGGCUUGCUUUGUAAAUUAUUAUAAGCCGACUAUGCACAAGUAACCAAAUGAGCUAGAAACUAUUCAUUAAGUUAAGUCGUAGCAGUUUCAGCUACAACAUCUCCAAAUCACCAGAGACGUCAUCAAUAAUGGACCCCUCCACUGUGCCCAAGGCCUGCCUGAAUUAAAAGAACAGACCCAAACAUAUUUGGUCAGGCAACGCAAGGCAUCUCGACCCUUUGAGUCUACAGCACAUGCUGGCACGCACGGAAAAUGCUAAAUGAAUACCUCAGACGUUCAUCAUGCGUCCUCAGGUUGGAGGCAGAGAGGAUACUUUGGUUUUCCAGCCAGCAAGGCAGCCAGGACAAAAGAGAGAUACUUUGUUCAUACCAGAAGGGGUUGUUCUGUCUCUAUAAUGGAGAGGAAAAGAGACAGCCACGCAGACAGAGAGAAAAGGAGAUAUAGAGAGUGAGUGUGGUUAGCUCUCAGCCUUUCUCCCCAGGAGUGGUCACACUGGAUCUAUUUCAGGCACUGUGUUCAUACUAAAUACAUCCAUAAUUGUUUCCAAAUCUGUGGUCAUAUCUGACUUUUAUUUCCUGCUUCAUUCCAGGAUUUAAACUAUCACUGAACAAUAUAA